rnacentral:rRNA from 1 species
AGUGAGCGCUGGCGGUAGGCCUAACACAUGCAAGUCGAACGGCAGCACAGUAAGAGCUUGCUCUUACGGGUGGCGAGUGGCGGACGGGUGAGGAAUACAUCGGAAUCUACUUUUUCGUGGGGGAUAACGUAGGGAAACUUACGCUAAUACCGCAUACGACCUACGGGUGAAAGCAGGGGAUCUUCGGACCUUGCGCGAUUGAAUGAGCCGAUGUCGUAUUAGCUAGUUGGCGGGGUAAAGGCCCACCAAGGCGACGAUCCGUAGCUGGUCUGAGAGGAUGAUCAGCCACACUGGAACUGAGACACGGUCCAGACUCCUACGGGAGGCAGCAGUGGGGAAUAUUGGACAAUGGGCGCAAGCCUGAUCCAGCCAUACCGCGUGGGUGAAGAAGGCCUUCGGGUUGUAAAGCCCUUUUGUUGGGAAAGAAAAGCAGCAGGUUAAUACCCCGCUGUUCUGACGGUACCCAAAGAAUAAGCACCGGCUAACUUCGUG